AUUCAUCCGACAAGUCCUAAACAGGACGAAACGCACGUCCUGGAU
rnacentral:hammerhead_ribozyme from 1 species